CGUGUAGGUGGCUAAUUAAGUCAGGUGUGAAAUCCUUCCGCUUAACGGGAGAAGUGACACUUGAAACUGCUUAGCUAGAGUACGGGAGAGGAAGGUGGAAUUCCUGGUGUAGAGGUGAAAUUCAUAGAUAUCGGGAAGAACACCGGUGGCGAAGGCGGCCUUCUGGCCCGAUACUGACGCUGAGACGCGAAAGCGUGGGGAGCAAACAGGAUUAGAUACCCUGGUAGUCCACGCCGUAAACGUUGGGCACUAGGUGUGGAAGGUUUUUAUUCCUUCUUUGCCGAAGCUAACGCAUUAAGUGCCCCGCCUGGGGAGUACGGUCGCAAGGCUAAA
rnacentral:rRNA from 1 species